rnacentral:rRNA from 1 species
AUAUCAAUAAGCGGAGGAAAAGAAACCAACAGGGAUUGCCCUAGUAACGGCGAGUGAAGCGGCAACAGCUCAAAUUUGAAAUCUGGCUCUUUCAGAGUCCGAGUUGUAAUUUGCAGAGGGCGCUUUGGCUUUGGCAGCGGUCCAAGUUCCUUGGAACAGGACGUCACAGAGGGUGAGAAUCCCGUACGUGGUCGCUAGCUAUUGCCGUGUAAAGCCCCUUCGACGAGUCGAGUUGUUUGGGAAUGCAGCUCUAAAUGGGAGGUAAAUUUCUUCUAAAGCUAAAUAUUGGCCAGAGACCGAUAGCGCACAAGUAGAGUGAUCGAAAGAUGAAAAGCACUUUGGAAAGAGAGUCAAACAGCACGUGAAAUUGUUGAAAGGGAAGCGCUUGCAGCCAGACUUGCUUGCAGUUGCUCAUCCGGGCUUUUGCCCGGUGCACUCUUCUGCAGGCAGGCCAGCAUCAGUUUGGGCGGUGGGAUAAAGGUCUCUGACACGUUCCUUCCUUCGGGUUGGCCAUAUAGGGGAGACGUCAUACCACCAGCCUGGACUGAGGUCCGCGCAUCUGCUAGGAUGCUGGCGUAAUGGCUGUAAGCGGCCCGUCUUGAAACACGGACCAAGGAGUCUAACAUCUAUGCGAGUGUUUGGGUGUCAAGCCCGAGCGCGUAAUGAAAGUGAACGGAGGUGGGAACCCGCAAGGGCGCACCAUCGACCGAUCCUGAAGUUUACGGAAGGAUUUGAGUAAGAGCAUGGCUGUUGGGACCCGAAAGAUGGUGAACUAUGCUUGAAUAGGGUGAAGCCAGAGGAAACUCUGGUGGAGGCUCGCAGCGGUUCUGACGUGCAAAUCGAUCGUCAAAUUUGGGCAUAGGGGCGAAAGACUAAUCGAACUAUCUAGUAGCUGGUUCCUGCC